UCGAACGAGAAAGCGGGGGCAACUCCGUGAGUAAAGUAGCGACCGGGUGAGUAACACGUGACUAACCUACCCUCUAGUGGGGAACAACCUCGGGAAACCGGGGCUAAUACCGCAUAACGUCCGUGGGUGAAGUUCCUGCGGAUCAAAGGAGCAAUUCGCUGGAGGAGGGGGUCGCGGCUGAUUAGCUAGUUGGCGGGGUAACGGCCCACCAAGGCGAUGAUCAGUAGCCGGCCUGAGAGGGCGCACGGCCACACUGGAACUGAAACACGGUCCAGACUCCUACGGGAGGCAGCAGUGGGGAAUUUUGCGCAAUGGGGGAAACCCUGACGCAACAACGCCGCGUGGAGGAUGAAGUCCCUUGGGACGUAAACUCCUUUCGACCGGGACGAAUAAUGACGGUAUCCGGUGGAAGAAGCCCCGCCUAACUUCGUG
rnacentral:rRNA from 1 species